UAUUAGCCAAUCCAAGAAAACAAUUUAUCGGCUGCCGAGAAUGAUGCAACCAAUGCAAUUUCCUCCGGCUGAGGCGUGGGCGAAGACUACGGUUGAUUGGUAGAGCGUGCUCCUAUCGCAGAGGCUGUUAUUCCUUGGGUCUCCCGGCUGAGGGGAGGAGCCGAGCGAGCGGCGGGUGUCCCUGAGAGGCCACCUUUCGACCUUCGAGGGCCAGGAGGAUACGGGGAGGUGGCCGGAGGGAGUUCCCGAACACAGGUCUUCCUGUUCCCGCCGAGCAGGUGUUGGCGGUGCCAGGCCCGGCCUGGCGGGCCCGGGCUGGCAGCCAAAUACCCAGCGUCUGUGCUCGGGACGGGAGUGUUCGUCCAGGACGUGCAGCUCCGGAGCCUGCGCGGGCGACCUUGACCACCUUUGUCGGCUGUUUCCCCCUGAGGGAAGUAUACCUGUCCUGCCAGCCUUGGUCUCUGGCAGGGAAGGUCCUUCCAACAGAGAGGGAAUUGCUUAGAAUUGACUCAACACUGCCUCCUUGCUGAAUGGAUAAUUCAAGCAAACAACUCAAGAGCUGGAUGCUGCCCAGACAGAAGUCCUCCUAGCAUCUUUCUUCUGCCUUCCCCUGCUCCUGUCCCUGAAACCUUUUCUUCAAAAGAAGUGGAAAAGAGGAACUGGGAACCCAUAUAGCAACAGCAUCACCUGGAAUGAAUUCCUUUAGAACAUACUGUCUUGGAAAUCUGAAGCCUGCAGGGCUGGACAGGCAAGAAGAGCAGUGAGCACUGCAUGAACCUAGUCUUGCUGUGUCGCCCAAGCUGGAGUUCAGUGGCACCAUCCUGGCUCACUGCAACUGCUGCCUCCCAGGUUCAAGUGAUUCUCCUGCCUCAGCCUCCCGAGUAGCUGGGAUUACAUGUGCCUGCCACCACGCCUGGCAAGUUUUUGUAUUUUUAGUAGAAAUGGUGUUUUACCAUGUUGGCCAAGACUGGCCUAGAACUCCAGACCUCAAGUGAUCCACCCGCCUCAGCAGCCCAAAGUGGUGGGAUUACAGGCAUGAGCAACUGUGCCUGGCCUAGCCAUUUUCUAUAAACCUGAAAAUAGAUGCCAGAAAAGAAGGUGCCGCUAUAAAAUGCUUUCUUGAGUGAUUUAUGUCUAACAUACAAUUAAACAUUUAUGAGAAGGAAAUUAUCAGGUUAAAAUAUAAACUCACUUGCCAAUUAUUUGAUUUUCAGGAUAUCUGACUUUUGUUAAUUACUGAAAAUAAAGUAUUAUUUCUAAUCACU
rnacentral:lncRNA from 1 species